rnacentral:lncRNA from 1 species
GGAAGAUUUGAAGAGUAUGUAUCGACUACAGACAAUGGGUAAUGAGGAUGAACACUCUAUAGAAGAGCUGCGAGAAUUUCAAAACCGUUACAAAAAGGAUUGACUAAAAUAAAAUGGAUCAUUCUGUAGAAGAGCCGCGAGAAUUCCAAAGUUGUUAUGCGGUGGGUGGGGGGGCGGCGGCGACCAACAAAGAAGGGGAGGGGGGAAGAAGAAAAAGGAAUUUCGAAGGAGAGGGAAUAAUUAGGAGGGAACACUGUAGACUGGGAGGGAGUUAAGGAGUAGAAGGGGAAUCAACAUGGCCUAUCUCCGCCUGCAAACCAGGAAGAUAAGUUCAUUUUAGCCCCUUUUCGACCUGAAUUUGAAUUAGAGUGUAUGUAAAUUCAUUAAAUCACAUUGGGAGGAUUUGAAAUAGAGUCUCCGGAGAUAUAUGGAAGCAGGCUAUACGGAAACUUAACAGUAAGUGUAAAAUGCAUAUAUGUGUACUGUUAUGUAUUACAUUAUCAGGAUAUCACUGUGGUUAUGAGCGAAUGAUAGGCUGAAGGAGAGGACUCAGGUGAGGCUAAUAGAUUGAGGUUCUAAGCGUAAAACUGGCUAACAUCUGAGAGUGAAUUUCUGAGGUGUGUAAUAGCUAGGGAAGGGAAAAGUUGGAAAUAGAUAAAGAGAGCACCGAAUGAGAGAUGAGUAUUACAGAGAGGGACAGAAAGGGAUUUUGGGUAGGCAUAAGCAUGAACAAAAUUUGAUAAUUGAUACAGAUGAGAAAUUUACUGGAUGAUAGGUUAGCUGGGACAGUUUUGAGAUGAGUUGGAGCACUUUUAGGUGAACCAUACAUUUCAAUGACCAAAAACCAGUGAAUAAGAGUGAGGAUAGAAUAGUAAUAAUGAUGAAUGGGCAUGAAAAGACUUGAAUAUGGCGUCGUAAAUGACGGAUGGUAGUGUGGGUUAAUGAAGACACUGAUGGCAG